CCCUUAGGAGUUUGAUCCUGGCUCAGGACGAACGCUGGCGGCGGGCUUAACACAUGCAAGUCGAAGGAGAAGGUAGAAGCUUGCUUUUACUGGAGACUGGCGGACGGGUGAGUAACGCGUAGAUAACCUGCCUAUAGCUGGGGGAUAACACUGCGAAAGUGGUGCUAAUACCGCAUAAUGCAGCGGGGCCGCAUGGCCAUAGUUGUUAAAGGUUUCGACCGGCUAUAGAUGGGUCUGCGUGCUAUUAGUUAGUUGGUAGGGUAACGGCCUACCAAGGCGAUGAUAGCUAUGGGGUCUGAGAGGAUGAUCCCCCACACUGGGACUGAGACACGGCCCAGACUCCUACGGGAGGCAGCAGUGAGGAAUCUUGCGCAAUGGGCGAAAGCCUGACGCAGCCACGCCGCGUGCCGGAUGAAGGCCCUAUGGGUUGUAAACGGCUUUUACUAGGGAAGAACGAGAGGGUUUCGAUCUUCUGUGACGGUACCUAGUGAAUAAGCACCGGCUAACUCCGUGCCAGCAGCCGCGGUAAUACGGAGGGUGCAAGCGUUGUCCGGAAUCAUUGGGUGUAAAGGGUACGUAGGCGGGAGCCUAAGUCUGGGGUGAAAUCUUGCCGCUUAACGGUAAAAUGGCCCUGGAUACUGGGUUUCUUGAGUGCAGAAGAGGCAGGUGGAAUUCGUGGUGUAGCGGUGAAAUGCUUAGAUAUCACG
rnacentral:rRNA from 1 species